AUGGAGCAGCACUUCGUCCAUUUCGGUGCCACCACCACGCCUCCUCCUCCUCAACCCAAACCCAAAGCUUCACCGCCACUCUGCUACCACACUUCAUCACCGACCUUGGCCGACGACUACCACACCUCCUCACCCAUGUCGUCGGCCUUCGACAUGGGUGACACCGACGACAUGCACCUCCUCAACACCCUCCUCCUGCACAUACAGACGGGCAGCGCUUCUUCUCACGUGGAACCUGCCCAUUACUCCUUGGACCUGGAAUUGGACAUGGAGCCAUCUUCCUCUUCAACCAGCUCCUCCUCCUCCUACUCCUCCUCCGAGCAGCAGCAGAAGCAUCACGGGAUGCCCACCACCGCAGGACAGAGCCCAACCAAGCGCCGUGCAUCGCAGCAGCAGCAGCCACACCCCGCGCCGGCGGCCACCAAGGGCCUCAUCGGCGUGCGCAAGCGGCCGUGGGGCAAGUUCGCCGCCGAGAUCAGGGACUCCACCCGCAAGGGCGCCCGCGUCUGGCUCGGCACCUUCAACACCCCUGAGGCGGCCGCCAUGGCCUACGACCAGGCCGCCUUCUCCGUGCGGGGCGCCGCCGCGGUGCUCAACUACCCCGUCGACCGUGUCCAGGAGUCGCUCCGCACCCUCGCGCUCCGUCCCGACGUGCCGGGAGGCUCCCCUGUGCUGGCCCUAAAGCGCCGUCACUCCAUCCGCAAGCGCUCCCCCAACAAGGCCAAGAAGACGGCGCUAGAGCCCACCAAGAUGAUGGAGCAGUCGGCCGCAGCCAUGCCGGCGCAACAGCAGCUGCUGCCAGUACAGUCCGCGGGCGUGGUGGAGCUGGAGGACCUGGGCGCGGACUACCUGGAGGAGCUGCUCCGGGUGUCCGACGAGCCGUCCGCGUCGUCCACCAUGCUGAUGGGGGCCUUUGAUCAUCAUCACCAUCACCAUGUCGACGACCAAUCCGCGCUGGCCAGCACGGCGCCGAUGCUGUUCCCCCAUUGCUAG
rnacentral:rRNA from 1 species